AUGGAGAGUGCGUGCUUUGGAUUCAAGACUGGGAAUGAGGGGACCAGAAACCUAUUCUGUGGCUGUUUCUUGUUAGGACUUUCCUAAGCCUCUGGAAAAGUGCAAAGUACAAUUAACAUUUGAGUCUGUCUGAGUCAUGAAGAAAUGGAGAUUACUGAAAAUAAUUCAUUUUGGUAUCUUCUUACAUCCUGAGAGACUAAUCUUUCCAAGUUCAUCUGAGGCUCCUCUUCUCCAUGACAACCUCAUCCAGGGAUUUCUUCCUGUCCUGGUGUUUUAUGACAUAAUCACAUCCUUCCUGAGAUAAUGAGCACACAAUUGCCUGGAUACCUGAAGGAAUGGAGACAGCGGCAGAAAACACUGCAGAGAGGUGGAAACAUCCGUUAAUAUUUUAAAAUCCCAUUACUGCUACCAACAAUAAUAAUGGAUGCAUAGAAAUAGAUCUGGAUUAGCUGAGCUUGAAACAGUCCAUCUCACACACACACAAAAGAAUUUCAGAUACAGUGAACCCACAUGUUGAAGCUUUCUAGUAUAAUAAAAAUUUCAACUGUUCUGUUGAAUCAUCUGCCUGAUUGGAGGCUACAGAAAAGAUGUCAUCUUAGGAGUGCUUGCUCUGAGUGAGGCUCAUCUUCAAAUCUGAAUGACCACAAGGAGAUUUGAUUAUACAUGUGAACACCUCAGAAGGCACAGCCCACCCAGAAGGCAGACAG
rnacentral:lncRNA from 1 species